CGAUGAACCUCCUUCGGGAGGGGAUUAGUGGCGAACGGGUGAGUAACACGUGGGCAAUCUGCCCUGCACUCUGGGACAAGCCCUGGAAACGGGGUCUAAUACCGGAUAUGAGCCUGGGAGGCAUCUCCCGGGUUGUAAAGCUCCGGCGGUGCAGGAUGAGCCCGCGGCCUAUCAGCUUGUUGGUGAGGUAACGGCUCACCAAGGCGACGACGGGUAGCCGGCCUGAGAGGGCGACCGGCCACACUGGGACUGAGACACGGCCCAGACUCCUACGGGAGGCAGCAGUGGGGAAUAUUGCACAAUGGGCGCAAGCCUGAUGCAGCGACGCCGCGUGAGGGAUGACGGCCUUCGGGUUGUAAACCUCUUUCAGCAGGGAAGAAGCGAAAGUGACGGUACCUGCAGAAGAAGCGCCGGCUAACUACGUGCCAGCAGCCGCGGUAAUACGUAGGGCGCAAGCGUUGUCCGGAAUUAUUGGGCGUAAAGAGCUCGUAGGCGGCUUGUCGCGUCGGAUGUGAAAGCCCGGGGCUUAACCCCGGGUCUGCAUUCGAUACGGGCAGGCUAGAGUUCGGUAGGGGAGAUCGGAAUUCCUGGUGUAGCGGUGAAAUGCGCAGAUAUCAGGAGGAACACCGGUGGCGAAGGCGGAUCUCUGGGCCGAUACUGACGCUGAGGAGCGAAAGCGUGGGGAGCGAACAGGAUUAGAUACCCUGGUAGUCCACGCCGUAAACGGUGGGCACUAGGUGUGGGCAACAUUCCACGUUGUCCGUGCCGCAGCUAACGCAUUAAGUGCCCCGCCUGGGGAGUAC
rnacentral:rRNA from 1 species